rnacentral:rRNA from 1 species
GACGAACGCUGGCGGCGUGCUUAACACAUGCAAGUCGAGCGGUAAGGCCCUUUCGGGGGUACACGAGCGGCGAACGGGUGAGUAACACGUGGGUGACCUGCCCUCAGCUCUGGGAUAAGCCUGGGAAACCGGGUCUAAUACUGGAUAUGACUCCAUGACGCAUGUUGUGGGGUGGAAAGCCUUGUGCGGCUGAGGAUGGGCCCGCGGCCUAUCAGCUUGUUGGUGGGGUGANGGCCUACCAAGGCGACGACGGGUGGCCGGCCUGAGAGGGCGACCGGCCACACUGGGACUGAGACACGGCCCAGACUCCUACGGGAGGCAGCAGUGGGGAAUCUUGCGCAAUGGGCGAAAGCCUGACGCAGCGACGCCGCGUGAGGGAUGACGGCCUCGGUUGUAA